rnacentral:piRNA from 1 species
UAUUCUGCAGUAUAUUAAUUC